UAUCCAUCACAUCACAUCGCAAGUAGAUUGAGCAGUGUGCACAUAUUGACUGAUGAGAAUAUUUGAGAAAGCCUUGUGAGACAAGCUGUUUGAUUUUCGAGGGUGGAUUUCAGUUUGUUGGCCAACGGUCUGCUGGAGAAACAAGUGUUACCAUGGAAACCAUUUUGCUCUUCUUCUCGUCACUCCUGGUGUGUGUGGCUGCUGUAACAGACCCCAGUGCACAGGUGAGUAC